AACUUGAGUGCAGAAGAGGAGAGUGGAAUUCCACGUGUAGCGGUGAAAUGCGUAGAGAUGUGGAGGAACACCAGUGGCGAAGGCGACUCUCUGGUCUGUAACUGACGCUGAGGAGCGAAAGCGUGGGGAGCGAACAGGAUUAGAUACCCUGGUAGUCCACGCCGUAAACGAUGAGUGCUAAGUGUUAGGGGGUUUCCGCCCCUUAGUGCUGCAGCUAACGCAUUAAGCACUCCGCCUGGGGAGUACGGUCGCAAGACUGAAACUCAAAGGAAUUGACGGGGGCCCGCACAAGCGGUGGAGCAUGUGGUUUAAUUCGAAGCAACGCGAAGAACCUUACCAGGUCUUGACAUCCUCUGACAAUCCUAGAGAUAGGACGUCCCCUUCGGGGGCAGAGUGACAGGUGGUGCAUGGUUGUCGUCAGCUCGUGUCGUGAGAUGUUGGGUUAAGUCCCGCAACGAGCGCAACCCUUGAUCUUAGUUGCCAGCAUUCAGUUGGGCACUCUAAGGUGACUGCCGGUGACAAACCGGAGGAAGGUGGGGAUGACGUCAAAUCAUCAUGCCCCUUAUGACCUGGGCUACACACGUGCUACAAUGGACAGAACAAAGGGCAGCGAAACCGCGAGGUUAAGCCAAUCCCACAAAUCUGUUCUCAGUUCGGAUCGCAGUCUGCAACUCGACUGCGUGAAGCUGGAAU
rnacentral:rRNA from 1 species